UACGGGGGAGCAAGCGUUGUUCGGAUUUACUGGGCGUAAAGAGCGCGCAGGCGGUCGUUCAAGUCGCGUGUGAAAGCCCCCGGCUCAACUGGGGAGGGUCACGCGAUACUGAUCGACUCGAAGGCAGGAGAGGGUAGUGGAAUUCCCGGUGUAGUGGUGAAAUGCGUAGAUAUCAAGAGGAACACCAGUGGCGAAGGCGAGUCCCUGGACAACACCUGACACUGAGGCACGAAAGCUAGGGGAGCAAACAGG
rnacentral:rRNA from 1 species